rnacentral:rRNA from 1 species
UACGGGGGGGGUAAGCGUUGUUCGGAAUUACUGGGCGUAAAGAGCGCGCAGGCGGUCGAUCAAGUCGAGUGUGAAAGCCCCCGGCUCAACUGGGGAGGGUCAUUCGAUACUGAUCGACUCGAAGGCAGGAGAGGGUAGUGGAAUUCCCGGUGUAGUGGUGAAAUGCGUAGAUAUCGGGAGGAACACCAGUGGCGAAGGCGAC